rnacentral:rRNA from 1 species
UACAGAGGUCUCAAGCGUUGUUCGGAUUCAUUGGGCGUAAAGGGGGCGUAGGCGGCGCGGUAAGUCGGGUGUGAAAUCUUGGAGCUUAACUCCGAAACUGCAUUCGAUACUGCCGUGCUUGAGGACUGGAGAGGAGACUGGAAUUUACGGUGUAGCGGUGAAAUGCGUAGAUAUCGUAAGGAAGACCAGUGGCGAAGGCGGGUCUCUGGACAGUUCCUGACGCUGAGGCACGAAGGUCAGGGGAGCAAACGGG